rnacentral:rRNA from 1 species
AUACGGAGGGUGCAAGCGUUGUGCGGAUUUAUUGGGUUUAAAGGGUGUGUAGGCGGUGUAUUAAGUCAGUGGUGAAAGCCUGCGGCUCAACCGUAGAACUGCCAUUGAUACUGACACACUUGAGUAUGGACGAGGUAGGCGGAAUUUAUGGUGUAGCGGUGAAAUGCAUAGAUACCAUAAAGAACACCGAUAGCGAAGGCAGCUUACUAGGCCAUAACUGACGCUGAGGCACGAAAGCGUGGGGAGCGAACAGGAUUAGAAACCCCGGUAGUCC